GACGAACGCUGGCGGCGUGCUUAACACAUGCAAGUCGAACGGAAAGGCCCUGCUUUUGUGGGGUGCUCGAGUGGCGAACGGGUGAGUAACACGUGAGUAACCUGCCCUUGACUUUGGGAUAACUUCAGGAAACUGGGGCUAAUACCGGAUAGGAGCUCCUGCUGCAUGGUGGGGGUUGGAAAGUUUCGGCGGUUGGGGAUGAACUCGCGGCUUAUCAGCUUGUUGGUGGGGGUAGUGGCUUACCAAGGCUUUGACGGGUAGCCGGCCUGAGAGGGUGACCGGCCACAUUGGGACUGAGAUACGGCCCAGACUCCUACGGGAGGCAGCAGUGGGGAAUAUUGCACAAUGGGCGGAAGCCUGAUGCAGCAACGCCGCGUGCGGGAUGACGGCCUUCGGGUUGUAAACCGCUUUCGCCUGUGACGAAGCGUGAGUGACGGUAAUGGGUAAAGAAGCACCGGCUAACUACGUGCCAGCAGCCGCGGUGAUACGUAGGGUGCGAGCGUUGUCCGGAUUUAUUGGGCGUAAAGGGCUCGUAGGUGGUUGAUCGCGUCGGAAGUGUAAUCUUGGGGCUUAACCCUGAGCGUGCUUUCGAUACGGGUUGACUUGAGGAAGGUAGGGGAGAAUGGAAUUCCUGGUGGAGCGGUGGAAUGCGCAGAUAUCAGGAGGAACACCAGUGGCGAAGGCGGUUCUCUGGGCCUUUCCUGACGCUGAGGAGCGAAAGCGUGGGGAGCGAACAGGAUUAGAUACCCUGGUAGUCCACGCUG
rnacentral:rRNA from 1 species